rnacentral:rRNA from 1 species
AGUGAACGCUGGCGGUAGGCCUAACACAUGCAAGUCGAGCGGCAGCACAGUAAGAGCUUGCUCUUACGGGUGGCGAGUGGCGGACGGGUGAGGAAUACAUCGGAAUCUACUUUUUCGUGGGGGAUAACGUAGGGAAACUUACGCUAAUACCGCAUACGACCUACGGGUGAAAGCAGGGGAUCUACGGACCUUGCGCGAUUGAAUGAGCCGAUGUCGGAUUAGCUAGUUGGCGGGGUAAAGGCCCACCAAGGCGACGAUCCGUAGCUGGUCUGAGAGGAUGAUCAGCCACACUGGAACUGAGACACGGUCCAGACUCCUACGGGAGGCAGCAGUGGGGAAUAUUGGACAAUGGGCGCAAGCCUGAUCCAGCCAUACCGCGUGGGUGAAGAAGGCCUUCGGGUUGUAAAGCCCUUUUGUUGGGAAAGAAAAGCAGCAGGUUAAUACCCCGCUGUUCUGACGGUACCCAAAGAAUAAGCACCGGCUAACUUCGUG